rnacentral:rRNA from 1 species
UACGGGGGGGGCAAGCGUUGUUCGGAAUUACUGGGCGUAAAGGGCUCGUAGGCGGCCAACUAAGUCAGACGUGAAAUCCCUCGGCUUAACCGGGGAACUGCGUCUGAUACUGGAUGGCUCGAGAUUGGGAGAGGGAUGCGGAAUUCCAGGUGUAGCGGUGAAAUGCGUAGAUAUCUGGAGGAACACCGGUGGCGAAGGCGGCAUCCUGGACCAACACUGACGCUGAAGAGCGAAAGCCAGGGGAGCAAACGGG